CCUGGUGGCUCAGAGGAUAAAGCAUCAGCCUGCAAUGCUGGAGACCCAGGAUCAAUCCCUGGGUCAGGA
rnacentral:tRNA from 1 species